AUCUACGGCCAUACCACCCUGAAUGCGCCCGAUCUUGUCUGAUCUCAGAAGCUAAGCAGGGUCGGCCCUGGUUAGUACUUGAAUGGAAGACUGCCUGGGAAUACCGGGUGCUGUAGGCU
rnacentral:rRNA from 1 species